UCUGCAGCUGACUCAAUCAUAUUUCUACUAUGAGGAAAACUGGCUGAAAGGUGAAACUCAUACUGACAGAAGGAGGCCUCACUAAAGCGGCCUAAAGGCUGUUUAUUUUCUGUGCCACCAUUGCGUGAGGUCAUGUCAUCUUUACUAUAGUUCACUGGAAAUAUCUGGAAUGUUCCAUGUGCUUACGCUGAGGCCUUAGGUUGGUAUGACUGGAAGGUUGUAAAAAUCUUUCAGAAGAGCAAGAUGCUGACAGGAUUUAGGUCAUUGGAGGCCUGCUUUGCAAAGAACAGAGAGACAUUGUUCGUUCUCUCUCUCUCUCUCUCUCUCUCCCUCUCUCUCUCUCUCUCUCUCUCUCUCUCUCUCUCACUCGCUCUUUCAUUCCUGUCCCCGUGAAGAGCAUACUCUUCUAGAAUAACUAUUACUGCAGACCCAAAGGCAAGGAAUGAAACCACUCAUGGACCAAAACCUUCAGAACUGUGAACCAAAAUAUGCUUUUCUUUAUGUCUCAUCCCUCACUUUAAUCAUAUGCAAGUCCAUUAUGCAUAGACGGAAGACGAAGGAUGGAAGUUGUCUAGGUGUGAACCAAAUACUGACCUCUCCCUCAAAGGUAUCUUCUUUGACAUGAGAAGACUGAACAGUCAGUCAAGGAUACUGAAAACUUAGGUUACUCCUGGCCUAGUACAGAGAUCUUAGCAGCCACCACCAACAGCUCCAGCUUCAAAAUAACACUCUGGUCUUAUCAGAUUGACUCCAACCACAUCCUCAUACAGAUGAAGGCCAGCUUCAUCUGUGUGCCACCUUUAAUGAUUUCCAAGAAUGGCUCAUCCUGACAGAAUAUUUUACUUAAAAAAAAAAUAAAUGAUCUCUCACCAAGCAUGCAAUCGCAACACUGUGGGUACAUUGGCACGUUUCAUAUAAUCUGUGUUCUUCAGUCACGCAGUGGACAUCUGUUGGUUAUGUUUGCCAAAAAUUCAUUUCCCCUUCCUUUGAAAUGGCGCCCCAGACUCACAUUGGGAAGGCUGCCCCUUCCUUAGGGCAUGCAAGCAUGGGAUUGUUAAACAGGAUGUUUUCAUUUUCUCCAGCCAGGGGAUGGACAUAUAGGACAAACUAUAUGAAUCCCGUGCUUGCUUUUCUUUGAAAUCUGGAGCUCACAAUGAAUGUGGAGAAUGGUAUAAAAAGCAGUUGGCAUUAAUUAUCACAGCCUGUUAUAAUUGUUCUUUGGUUUUUUCCCUCUAAACAUGUCAGUUUCUGAUUUCAAGAAUGACUCUAAUCAUAUACAGGGAUCUGAAUUCUUCUGUCCUACCUAUCUUUUGCACUUCAUGGGCUAGGUUGGAUUCUGUUAUUUACACCCAAGCAAUCCUAACUGAUCUAAGUUUUCCCGGGAUGUAUUUUUAAUAGGGAUAUGUAUUGCCCCAAAUUUCCUGUUACUGAGGUUCAUUUCUGUUCCAAGAUAGAAUCAUACAUUAUUGUCAUGUGACUUUUCCUGGAACAAUAGGGGUGAAUGUCUGUUCACCCCAGGUACCACAACAGAAAUAAAUUUAAGAAACAGCCCCAUCCAAGUCUGCCUAGGUGAAUGAGGAUGCCCACUGUGGUUAUUUAUAGGGGCAUGGGUGAAGGAUUACUCACUGAAAGACCCAGCUCCACAAAGGUGACGGCUUACAGAAUUUGCCCCUCAGGUUCCCUCUCUAGCUUGCAGACAGAUCUAAAUGAAUGGAAUCCCACCUACCUCAUCAACCCUUCCUAACCUUGGGAAGGCUUUUGAGAGUCAUGUAACUUUCUGAGUUUCAUGAGUUAUAAGUUUGGUGAAUUUCCUGAUUCUUUUAGUAACCUUACUUUCUGGCUCAUAUGAGCUUCCUUCCUUCUUCUGGGUGGAAAUAUUUCAAUUUGAAUGAGGUAGAAAUACUAAAAAUUUAUUCUUGUUCACCUAAAAUUCAGUUAAAAUGGCUAGUACAUUUAUUUUAUUUGUGUGUGUGUGUGUGUGUGUGUGUGUGUGUGUGUGUGUGUGUGUGUGGUUUUUGUGGAUGAUGCCACUAGGCUCCUGUAGAGAUCUGUGACAAUAUGGGAGAGUUAGUUCUUUCCUUCUUUCAUAGGGGUAGAUACCAGGAAUAGUACUGUCAUCAUGCUUGUUGGCAAGUGCCUGAACUAGCUAGCCCUGAAUCUCACCAGUCCUGAAGUUAAACUUUAACUGAUAUUUAUGUUUGCCUGUUUUUGUUUUCUUUCUUUUCCAUUGUUGUUGUUGGUUUUUGUUUGUUUG